UACGGGAGGCAGCAGUGGGGAAUAUUGCACAAUGGGCGAAAGCCUGAUGCAGCUAUGCCGCGUGUAUGAAGAAGGCCUUAGGGUUGUAAAGUACUUUCAUCGGGGAGGAAAAACAAAACUAAUAAUUUUAUUUCUUGACGUUACCCGAAAAAGAAGCACCGGCUAACUCCGUGCCAGCAGCCGCGGUAAUACGGAGGGUGCUAGCGUUAAUCAGAAUUACUGGGCGUAAAGAGCACGUAGGUGGUUUUUUAAGUCAGAUGUGAAAUCCCUGGGCUUAACCUAGGAACUGCAUUUUGAAACUGAAAUACUAGAGUAUCGUAGAGGGAGGUAGAAUUCUAGGUGUAGCGGUGAAAUGCGUAGAUAUCUGGAGGAAUACCUGUGGCGAAAGCGGCCUCCUAAACGAAUACUGACACUGAGGUGCGAAAGCGUGGGGAGCAAACAGGGAUUAGAUACC
rnacentral:rRNA from 1 species